GAUGAACGCUAGCGGCGCGCUUAAUGCAUGCAAGUCGAGCGAUGAGGCCCUUCGGGGUACAUCAGCGGCAGACGGGUGAGUAACACGUGGGUGACCUGCCCCCAAGACGGGAAUAACGAAUGGAAACAUUUGCUAAAGCCCGAUAGUCUCAGAGAGUCACAUCUUUGAGUAAAACUCCGGUGCUUGGGGAGGGGCCUGCGGCCCAUCAGCUAGUUGGUAGGGUAAUGGCCUACCAAGGCGAAGACGGGUAGGGGGUGUGAGAGCACGGCCCCCCACAAUGGGACUGAGACACGGCCCAUACUCCUACGGGAGGCAGCAGCAGGGAAUAUUGCGCAAUGGACGCAAGUCUGACGCAGCGACGCCGCGUGAGUGAUGAAGGCCUUCGGGUUGUAAAACUCUUUUCGGGGGGAAGAGCGAGGACGGUACCCUCG
rnacentral:rRNA from 1 species